AUUGAACGCUGGCGGCGUGCCUAACACAUGCAAGUCGAGCGGUAACAGGUGUAGCAAUACAUGCUGACGAGCGGCGGACGGGUGAGUAACGCUUGGGAAUCUGCCUAUUAGUGGGGGACAACCCGGGGAAACUCGGGCUAAUACCGCAUACGCUCUACGGAGGAAAGCCGGGGACCGGCAAGGCCUGGCGCUAAUAGAUGAGCCCAAGUCGGAUUAGCUAGUUGGUAGGGUAANGGCCUACCAAGGCGACGAUCCGUAACUGGUCUGAGAGGACGACCAGUCACACCGGAACUGAGACACGGUCCGGACUCCUACGGGAGGCAGCAGUGGGGAAUAUUGCGCAAUGGGCG
rnacentral:rRNA from 1 species